rnacentral:RNase_P_RNA from 1 species
GCGAUGAAUCCGGUCGUCGCGGAGGAACCCCUGGGGGUUCCUAUCGAGGAAAGUCCGGGCUCCGUAGGGCAUGAUGCCGGGUAACUCCCGGGCAGAAAUGGUUUUCCAUUUUUGACAGAUAGCGCAACAGAAAGUAUACCGCCGGAACGUCGUAUCCCUCGGGGUCGAUGUUUUCGGUAAGGGUGAAAGGGUGGGGUAAGAGCCCACCGCGGAUCCGGUAACGGAUACGGCACGGCAAGCCUCAUCAGGAGCAAAGUCGAGUAGCGGCAUGAACGGCCCGUUCAAAAACCGUGGGUAGACUGCGUAGACGUUUUGGGAAACCAAAACGCUAGAUAGAUGACGAUCGCGGUUUGUCGGGUAACCGGCAAGCCGUCACAGAACCCGGCUUAUGGAUUCAUCGCUUUU